rnacentral:lncRNA from 1 species
AUGAGUCUUGUAGAGCGGUGUAAGAAGAUAGACAUCAAGGUUUUUUGCUUGUUUGGAAGUUCUGUGUUGCCAUCUAUGAACUUUCUGUUACUGAUGCUGGAGCCAAGAGCAGGUCACCUGCCUCCCCUGACUCUCCCUGAACAAGAAGAGUAUUAUAGCCCUCUGCAGGAGUGCCUCAACAGCUCAGGUUAUCUUAUUGCAGCAAAAGAGGCGUAUUUUUAGUUACUGUUUCAUAUAACAUAAUGCUUUUGAAUAGGGGGAACACUUAAGUGAGUGAUUGUAUUAGAGCAGCUGUAAUUCUGGUCAAGUUGAACAACUGGAAAAAAUGAAAGACAGUGUGUUUGGGGGGGGGAGGGGUUAGUGUUAACCUGUGGCAAAUGCACUUUCAUUGUUGUUGUUCUUUAACACCCAUGUGUUUGCGUUGUAGAUCAAGGCGUCACUUAACAAAAGUGUUUUUCAGGCAAGACGAAUAUUGUCAGUCAACCGUUUCCAUGUGCUUAUAACUUUGGCCUGGGGGUGAAAUAUCAGAUCAUUUCCUUAAGAGGUGACAAAGAAAAUCUGGCUGGGAUCAAACACCAAGAUAAGGUUCUUGGUGGGAGGACAUAGGGAGUGAUAACCUUAUGUGGAAUUCAUGAAUGAACCUUUACGAGACUGACGUAGGUUGGCAUGAUAGAGCAUGUUGGGAUCAUUUUGUGACUCACUUGUGGACACAAUGUCGUUUAUGUCUUUCUGCACCAAAUGCGCUGCAUAGCCACUGAGACUACAACAUUGUUUCAGCGAUGCAGUUAGUCCCCUGCUAUCCUGUGUUGUUUGUUUUAAAGCAAAAUGAUCAUUUUCUCAUAUAGUCUAAAAAGAGUUCUCUUAACAGUUUUAACUCCAGUCAGUUGCUCUAGCUAGCUUUUAUUCUUAUUCGGGUUUCAGUAUAUGUAUUUUUUUGCAUAACAGGAUGACAGACAGCAAAAGCAUCCUGUGUGUAUUUAAAGUGGGUAUCUACUUGAUGGAGUGGUGCUGUCAUAGGUCAGAGUGAAGUGAUUGAAAUGUCACUAUAGAGCUCUGCAAUGAGUGUCAAAGGGUAAAGUCUGAUUUCCAUAGGCUCUGCUCGCCUGAAGUCCUUCCUUUGUCUGGUAACAGAGCUGUAUUCUGAUUGCUGCAUGCCAGUUAUACAUACCUCCCGAUUUCCUCCAUUCCUUAUGUUUCAGCCCACCUAGAAGCUUUCUAUUAAUGUAUCGAAUUGUCAUUGGGCUCACUUUGUUGCUUUGCAAUUGCUAGCCUGUCCAUUUGCUUAAUUGGUCCAUUUCCCAUUUGUUAGUUUUUCAGUCUGUGAAUCAUCAUUUGAAUAAUUUUUAGCUAACUAUUAAUUUAACACCAUUUAUAACGUGACUACAUUGUCUACACUCAUUUUUUCAUGAUUGGAAAGAGAAAGGUUUUUUUAUUACGAUGCAUAUCAGAUUUUCCAGUUAAUUGGUGGUUUGAAAAUGGGUGGAAAGUGAUGACUCUGUUCAGUAAUUACAAAGCUGAGGAGUCCAGGAUUAUUUUGGCUGGUUGAACAUGGGCAGUCAGUUCAGGAGCCAGUUUCUGCUUCUUUGCUUGGCUGAAGAAGGCCACAGGGACAGAGGAGUGGCCAAGAAGCUGUGUGAUCUUAUCGAGCUUGUUGGGCCUUGGUGGAUUGCCAGUGGCUUUAACCCUGCCACUGUGCCUAUUAGGACAAUGGCAUAAUUAACAUUACCGCUAAUUUUUUGCCUUCAGAAAUGCUAGUAAUACUCAUCCUACACAUCAGUUCAGGUUCAACAUCCGUCGUGUAUUAAAGUGGAGCCUGUAUGAGAAGUUGAUCCAAAAGAGAUGGCUAAACCUCACUGACUCUUCUGUGCCAAUCCAUCACUUCAAGGUUUAUACAGUGGCCCUCCUUGUAACAGCCUGUGAUUUAUGAGAAACUUGGGAGUAAAUAAAAGUGAACUGCUAGAAACA